ensembl:lincRNA
UAUAUAGAUAUAUAAAUAGAAAUAAAUCUAUACACAAUUUAGUAUCAUAUGCACAUAAAUAUUUUUUAAGUUUCCAAAUAUUCUCUUCUAGUUGAAUAUAAAAAUGGCAAGAAAAAUCAUGCUAAACAUUCAAUGUGAAAGUUUUAUGAGAAAACAUGAAAGGUGAACUCUUGGCCUUUGAAGUAUUAAAGGUAUACAGACAUUCCUUUGAAGAAGGCAAAUGUUAUACAAUAUAUGCAUUGUUCAAUGACAAAUUUACAUGGUGUCAAAAUAACAUUCAGGCUGUGAUUAAAUUGGCAAAUGUAAGCACAAGUGACCAAGCUGAUUUCGUUGUAUGUUUGUCUACUGUUUUCAAAAUAUAUUUUUUUUACCAACUUGUAAAGAAUUUCUAUUCCCAAGCCUUCCUGUUGACCAUCCUUGGUAAAAUGAUGAGAAUAUGGUGCAGUUGUAUACAUUUUGAACAGGACAAAGGAGAGAAAGAACAUCUGUUUGUGAUGUAGGGAUGAAUAAAAAGAAAGGAGAUGGCUAGAAAG